UAUUUUUAUUUUUUUUAAAAAAAACCUUAUUUUGUUUCAAAGAGUUCUUAUAUUUAUGGAUUAAAAACCAAGUUGUACUAUAUUUGUGUUAGAAACUGUUGUGUAAUCUGUGUUACUUGGAGAUUUUCUUUUCAGUGACGAGGGAUUAUUAGGUGGAUUCUCUGAAGAUUUCUCAGAAGGGUAGUCCGUACUGCCAAUCCCCCGGUCUCCGCAGACUGUUUCAAUAUGAAGCCGGCCACUUCAUUUCGGUGAAUCAUUCUAUCUCUUCAUCAACUUGAAUUUUGACCCAUCAACUUUGUGAAUGUAUGGAUUAUGACGAUGGCUUGAAGAAAAUGGAGAAAGCUUUUGUAAAAAUGUAGAAUCCUCAUCAGGAAGGAGCUAGAAUUUAUUUGUAGCUAAUCUACCUCUCUGGAAGUUGCGGAUCUAGCGUACGUUCAUGUAAUAAUUAAUUAAGUUGUGGAAGAUAUAUAAUU